GAUCCUGCCAGUAGUCAUAUGCUUGUCUCAAAGAUUAAGCCAUGCAUGUGUAAGUAUGAACGAAUUCAGACUGUGAAACUGCGAAUGGCUCAUUAAAUCAGUUAUAGUUUGUUUGAUGGUAACUACUACUCGGAUAACCGUAGUAAUUCUAGAGCUAAUACGUGCAACAAACCCCGACUUCUGGAAGGGAUGCAUUUAUUAGAUAAAAGGUCGACGCGGGCUUUGUGUAGCAUCCCCAUCCCGCUGUCUGAACUGGAUCAGUCCAAGGUCGGACUGAUCAGACAGGAUAUACAUGUUGGACAUUACAUCUGGAUAGUACUGGUCAGGUUAAGACGAUACUGUCUGUCCGAACAUAGCAGUUGAGCUUGUCGGACUAAGCUGGAUGGAUUCAGACAAGGCAGCUGGACUUGUCAUCCGAGAUCAGUUAGUCAACGUGUGGACUGACUGGUAAACGUUGUGACAGGAACAAAUACUGAGCUGAACAUGAACUGAUUAGCCAAGGAAAAUGGCGGGAACAGUAUCUGGUGGUUACCGAGAACGGUUACUGAGCGGUUACCGAGAGCGGUUACUAAGUAGUUAACGAAGCAGUUAUAGGGCGGUUCUGAGUGGUUGCCGGACCACUUAUCUGACUGGGACAGUUUAUGGGUUCGGGAACUGCUAAGGGAGUUACGGAGAAACCGUCAAGGCAGUUGGCCGAGAGAGAAACCGUCUAGGACAGUUACGGACUGGAAGGGACGCGCGGGGUGGUUAUGGAACUAACGGUUGGGGAGGAAACUGCCCAAAACAUUCCUUUUAUGGGGAUUUUCGGGGAACAAGGAUGGGGACACUUUUUCCACACGGGUUCUGGGCAGAAAGGAGAGAAAAAGAGCCGAGAGAGAGGAAAAAGAUUGGAAAGAGAGAGAGAUGGCCGGAAGGCUGAUCGGAGUCUCAGAUAUGGUCGCUGGUCUGUCUGUUAUGCGACUCCGCCUGUUCUGAACGUUGAUCAGAUCGUACUGAUGAUGCCGGAGGGAGACAAAGGGAAAACUGACCUGAGAGACACUGAGUUUUGCGGAGAAAGGCUGGUCGGGUCGUAAUCCGAUCGUCUGAGAGUCGAGUAGGGUGUGUGCGGCUGAGUUGAAUCGUGUAAGGUGGGCUGCGUACUGAGCGAUGGUUCGCUCGGCUGAGUUGAAUCUGUACAGACUAGGCCGACAGUCUCUUUUCCAAUGCUUGCGCAUGGUCCGACAGACUGCACGCGCCAUAUACUCGAUGGGAGUUGUGUACUGGUGGAACGCGACGAUUGUGGAACGCUCGGCGGUUACGUUCGAGAGCUAAUGGUCGCGGGUUCUUGGGACAGCGUAUGGAAGGGUUCCUUGUACUGAUCGGACCAAUUCGGUCUGGAUGCGGUGUAGAAAACCGUUAAAAAAAAAAAAAAAAAAAAAAAAGAGAGGAGAGAGAGAAUGGUCGAGUAUCUUUGUGGUGGUCGAGUCUUAGGCGAUAAGGAUUGAUCGAGAAGCUUUGAAGUACGAGGUGGGCGAAGAAGUGAUCGUGGGUGAACUAUGAGUCAAAUAAGUUGCUCGACAAUAGUUAGAAGAUGUCUUAGAUUGAUGUAAAGGACGUUUUGGAAGCACAACAUUUUUGGAAGCAUGACGGUUUAGAAGCUCGACGUUUGGGAAGAAUGACGUUUCUUCAGCACAAAGUUUUCCGCAAAACUUCGUAUCAGCGGAAUAUUAUUUCAAAGACAUUGGAAGCGGGACGGGAAUUAAGCAGGACGGGAAUUAAGCACGACGGGAAGCAAGCACGACAGUAUCAAAGCACGACGGGAAAACCCGAAGUUGGGCGAAAACCCUAAUUUCGGUAUUAUGGAAUUCUUCGAGGAAGCCAGAGGCACGGGAAAUAUUUUUACAGGAUAUACGAAUUAAUUUGGAGUCUGUUAAAAAUAUUUAGAGCAUCAGAACAGGAGCGGAAAAAUAUUCGGGAUUGAUCGCGAGUCAGAAAUUUGCCGGAAGGGUCAAAAAUCGCGUAAACCGCCCAAGAAGCUCGAGGUGUCUCUACGUAUAUGGCCAGGACGUGAUAACUACCAUCUAAGCAGCUGAGUGUCUACAAAAGCUCGAGGUGUCACCAUGCAUGGAAGCAGCACAUGCAGCUUGACAUGUAGAAGCACGAGGUGUCGUCGUAUCUGCAACCGAAGCAUGCUGAUCGACACGCAAGGGAGCCGUGUGUUGCGAUGCAUGAACUCCAGCGAUGCAGCAAGCCAUCUGGACGUGGAUGUGUCUCCUUGCAUGUAUAUUAGGCAUUCAUGAAGACAUGUGUGCGCCCUUGUGUCACCGCGCAUGCGACCGUAAGCAUGCGGGCUGACACACAGUCGCUCGUAUGGCCUCAUACCUGCCUUCAGUUUCAUUCAUCCAUCACACACCAAAAUCACUCCUAAAACGUGGCUAGAGAGAGAAAGUGAAAGAAAGAAGUAGUUUUGUGAGUAUAGUCAUUUCUAAAUACCGAUAAUCCACCGAGAAGGCGAGCUCUGCCCAAUCGAAGAUUCUCUACGAUACUGAGGCGGAAGCUCUGUCCAGAUGAUUCCGUCCAAGCCAGUCAUAUUCUCCUACAAUCAAGGGAGGUACCGUCUACAGUUAGUUCAGAUCCACUGGUUCAGAUCAGUCAAAGUUCUGCUCGAUACUCCGCCGGGAAGUCCGAAGAACUGUCCAGGAGCUAAAGGAGGUUAUGGCCGACUCUAGAUCAGUCUGUCCAGGCCUGUCAGUUUCUUCAUGGUGAAGCCGAGGUUCUGUCCAAGUCGAGUCGAGUCCAGUCCAGUCAAGGCGUCCCUUGGGUUUUGGCCAAGUCCUCUCCGAUCAACCAGCUGCUUCUCGCCUAGAACACUAUGAGUUGGUUUUGUGUGAAUUCCAUUUGUAAUUUAGGGUAGAUCGAGUAGCAUAUAGAUUGGAAUGAUCACUCUAUUGAAUGGUAGAGUCCUUAGGGUUAUUUUAUUUAUCGAACCGGACUCAGUUUAGCAAGGGCUAAGCUGAGAUGAAUGGAAUUAAGACUGAGUUGAUAACCUGACUAGGACUAGGGCUAGGAUGCAUCAUGUUUUCUAUUCUUGCGUGUUGAUAUGGUUGAGUGCAGGUUCCCGUUAUCUUUAAAGGAAGUGUCGUAGCAGGAGGCCGAACUAUCUGGGUAACGGGUUGAUUGUAGUAGGUUGAUUGAGUAGAUUUAAUUAAAUGCUUGCUCGUUUAAUUAAUCUUGUUGAUUGAGGUUAGUCAUCUCUUGGUAAGGGAGUGACUAAUUGGUGGGAGGAACACAAAGUCACCAGGACCCAGGUUAGAGUGUUGUGUUAGUGUGUCUUAGAGGGUUAUGGAACCCUCGAGUUAAUGUAGCACCGAUAUACGGUGUUACGAGUAAGAUCGAGUCAUUGGUAGUUACUAUCUUAUUAUUGUUGUGGUUGUGGUUGUUGAUUGAUUUGUUUGCAGGUUCUGAUAUUAAGUCCUAAGUCUGGUUUAGGUACCGGAUUAGGCUUGGUGUGUAUUUUGUUAGUGUAGGCCUGACGUUGGCAUGUAUGUAUUUGACGGGUGGACUAGUGUUUUCUCGCCCUCGUACCCAGCGGGUUCAAGGAAACCCCUUAUUCGCUGGAUAGAGAAGAUUCAGACGAACGGGGUCAUGUCCUAUGGCUGAGUAUUACACGAUGGUGUAAUGUGGCAGUGACCCGAAGGACUGUGGGCUGUCGCGGGGUGACCCGAAGGACUGUGGGCCGCGGUCGGUUGAAAGUUCCUUCUUCUGGAUGGCGGUUACCAAGAGCAGUUACCGAGUGGUUACGAACAGUUUGACAGGGUGGUUAUUAAGCCGGUUACUGAACUGCUGGAGGAGUUGGGAGAGCAGUUACUGAACUGCUUAACUGAACCGAGAGCAGUUACUGGUUUCUGAGUAAUAAGUAACUGUCCAGAUAGACCGUUGAAGGGAAAAAGGAGUGCGGGGAUGGUUAGAGCGGUUGGGAGGCGGUUAUGUGCGUCUGAGUAACCGCCCAGUCUAUUUUAAUUAUAUUUCCGCGGAUCAGAAAGGGGAUCUCUUAUUUACACACACACGAGUUUCUGGGUAAAAACAGGGAAAAAAGCAGGAGAGAGGGAACUGGACCGGGAGAGAGUCUGAGAUCGCCGAGUAGGACUGAUCGGAUCCUUCCCAACUUCCCUAAUGUCGAGCGGUGGCCUUGCGGAUGUACUGAGGCACGUCUGGUUCUGGUUCCAUGAGGGGGCGAUAAUUUAAGAAGAAUGAUCGCGGCAUCUGUUGUUCCUUCUGGUGCGGAAUUAAGGACAAGCCAUGGGAAGGGCUGUACCGGCUAAGUCUAUGUGCGGUGGAGCUAUGUACUGAUGGUGAGCGUCUUGAUGGGAUGCGAUUGGGACUGCGUAUCGGCUUGGUCAGUGCGAUCCAAGAAAGGGAAUCGAUCGGGGCUAUGAUGGACUGGUGUGAUGUCUGGAUACAGAGUCUGGAUCGUGGAGAAGUACCGCUCAGUCGGCGGUUAGGAUAUGCGGAACUGGAGCGUGAUGUGUGUGAUUGAGGGACUGGAUGCCCGUGUGGUUACUGUCGGAACGAGAGCUAUAUGGACCGAUUGAUGUACUGUCUAAUCAUGGUAUGAUUAGCGACUGGUUGUGGAUCAAGGGUAAGAGUUAUAUGGGGCGGUUAACGGAUGUAUAGUGCUGGAACGUGAUACUGGCGGUUAGGACUCGGAUCGAAUGUUGAUGGAUCGGUCAUGACUGGACCGAGACUUGUACUGGAUGGAGGCAUGGUGUUACUGACUGGUUAUGGGGCUGUGGAGCCGAGUAAGUACUGACUAUUCCGGGUGUGAUCGGGGACUGGUUCUGGGGCGCUAAGCAUUGCUAGCGUACUGUCUGUUCUGGAUGGCUGGUUGGAGACCAUGCCGUCUCUCUUUGUUUACUUGGAUCAUGUGGGGAUGGUUGGCUGAGUGAUUAAGGAACAAGGGGAUUCGGUUAAGUAUCUGAUCGAGCUGGCUGGAUAAGACGGAUGGGAAACAGGAAGACAUCAAGGAAGGAGUGUCUGGAUGGAUUAUCAGAUAACAAAGCACCGAGGCCGUAAGGUACAUGUUUAUUAUGCUGCGAUUACUAGUAGACUGCUAAGUUGUUGGAUUAGACUUAGCGAACCCUGUGUACUGAACUGAACCUCUUAGAGAAAAGCUGGUUAAAAAACGUAAGUAAAGGGAAUAUUUCGUAAAAGGCCAGUUUGGGUCGGGGCAAGCAAACUGUGGACGAGCCGGCGGUAAGGGAAACCGGGUCGGGGCCUUUCAAGUGGUAUCAGAGCAAUGACGGUUCUAGGACAGAGUUUGAAGGAUGAUACAAGAUUUUUCUAGAACGGACGCGAAAAAUGCUAAGGGCGAGCAUUAGAGAAUUGACGAGAGACUUGAUCUUGGGAGUGAUCAAGUCGGACUUACACUUUGUAUGGGCAAAUGUAAGUUAGAAGUCUAACUGGAAAGAAACCGGAGAUAAGAUCAUUGAUGAAAGACUGGAUUGGUGGAACGAAGUCUAAGUUAAGAUCUAAGUGUUGGAAACAAUGAGAGGUUUAUUUAAGUCAAUGGAUCCAAAUUCUGAAGUGAAGAAACGGGAAAGAUUGACGAGGUGUAUUCUGAAGCUUAAGGAUAAUAAGCUGACUUGAUUUAGGAUUGAAUCAAGUGGCUCGAGGAAGCCAAGGAUGCUUCGGAAAAGUCUAAGUAAGACAAGGAACUGUCAAGGACAAUGAUGUCGGAUAUGGAACCAAGGAGCUGAUGAGUUUAAUUCUGUAUGGAUAAGAAGUCCAUAACUGAAUUUGGAAAGAAGACUUCAGCGGAAGGGUUCAAGGUAGGAUAGCCGAGUGGAUAAGUUGAUUGUUGUACCGGAGAGGAAGUUGGACAGGUAGUCCGAGGAUUGAGAUGGAAUCUUAAUGCACUGGCUAAGCCAAUGGAAGGAUUGCUAAGAGAUAACCUGAAAGAGUCAGGGAAUCAGAAAAACUGAAUUGGACAAGUCACCCAUGGAAGAGCCUAAGGACUAAAAGGCUAAGGCACUGGUGCUGGAAUGUGAAGUACAAAGACUUACAUUUGAAUGGAACAUCUACUGAGAAUGCUUAGACGGAUCCUAAGAUUUUCAAGGUAAUGGACAAGCUGGUCCGGGAAAAUGGAACUGGAAGUUUCAUAAAAAGAUUUUGGAAAAAAAUCUGAGUAAGACUUACACUUAGCAAGUAGUGAGUGUAGGCAAGUCUGGAUAUAGGAACUGGACAAAGGAAUUGUCAAGGUUGACUAAGCUUGAUCGUCUUGGUAGGUUUGUGCGGUCCGAGAGUUGAGAUUAUCGGAACAAGAGAUUGGAAGUCAGGUGUACUUGCCAAAGACUUGUUAGGUGAUCAAGAAACUACUUGGAGGUACAAGAUGCCAUAGAUGAUGAGUUGUGGUCAGAGUUUCAAAAGUAGUAAAUGAUUGGUUCCUAUCAUGAGCGUCUAGAUCAGACAAGGUACUUAGGGGCUGUGACGCUUGUUAAGGCUUGCUGGAUUUUGGAUGCGGCUCGAUGAUUUGGGACGAUCAUUUGAGUUUAGAUUAUUAGUUCCUUUCAUGCGAGAGUAUAUAUCAGUCUAGGUGCUUAUGGCUGAGAUGCUCAUUAAGACUUAACUGGAUUGUAAAACGGCUGCUCGAUGACUUGGAAUGAUAAUGCUAGACCAGACUAAGUGUUUGAUUAACGGGACAAGUGGGAAUGCUGAAACAUCAGUGUUAGUGUUGAUGAUAUAUCCUUAGGAACCGAGUGGGUUUGCUAAGGCAUAACUGUACUGAUACUGUCUGUUCUGGCGUCUAUGGAAACCGAUAGUUUCCAAGACGUGACUGUCUAUCAUCGCGUGUUCUGUCCUGACGUCUGUGGGAAAUGGAGAGUUGCCAAGAUGUAAUUGUUAUCGCGUCGGUGGGAACUAGAUUAGUUCGCCAUCGCGUGUCUGUGCUGUAGUCUGCGGAAACCCAAUCUGAUGUAUGUGGGAGAUGUACCUUCCAAGACAUAACUGUACUGUCACUGGAACUCAAGGAGUUCACUACUGUGGGUUUCCGAUCGCGAUGAAAGCAUGGAUUGGAACUAGUGAGAGUUUGCCAUCACAUGUCUAUAGGACGUCUGUCGGUUUAGUAUAAUGAACUGCUGUCAUUGGGAACUAUUGAGUUUCUAAGACAUAACCACGACUGAAUAAUGGGAACUACAAAAGUUUGCCAUUUUCGAACUGUGAACCAGGAAGAACUGGGAGUCUGAACGGAAAAUUUUGCAAGGGAUCAAGUGUAGGAUCCAGUAAGAAAUGUCUGUAAGGAUCAAGAAUAAUCCGGAAGUGUCAAUAAAGAUCAGUAAAGAUAUGAGAAAAGCUGAUGUCGAUCAUAAGUGGUUGGGGAUUUGUUAGGAUCAGGGAGUGAUCUGAGGGAACAACUAUAAGGAUCAAGAUGAGAUCCAUGCGUUCUGAAAAGAUUAAGUUCCUAGUAUUCGGAGUUAGGCCAUGCUAAGGAACACUGGAGUGCAGGAAUCAAACAGUCAAGUCAGGAUUGUACUGAGACUGGUUGGAACUGAGUUCCGGAGGGACUAAAGUUGAGUCAAUAAGUGACUGUGAUUGGUUAAGGUUUAAGCUGGAAAAACUUAACUAAGAUAGUGAGUUAACACUUCGAGAAUUGAGGUAAACUGGUCAGCACUGUUGGGAGUCUAGCGUUCUCGCCAAAGUGUGUGUCCAAACACCAAGAGAUUGCUCGGAAGUAAGAACUACUAUUCUUAGUGAGUUGGUGCACUGAACCGAGUCUGUUGAGAUUAAAAAAAAUAAAAAAUUGGUAAAUGUUGUAAAACUUAGGAUUUAGAGCUGUAAGUUUAUGUCUUUUAUUAAUCAUAAAGUGUUCCUUUUAUAUAGGGGAUUACAAGAUAAAUAAAAGGAAAUACAAGAAUAGGAAAGAUUACAAAUCAUAAACAUAAACAAAUAAGGAAAACAUAGAUGUAGCCGCCUCCCUCUCUCCUCAAUAGGCCGACUCUUUCUCCUCUCUCUCUCUCCUGUGGAUGGGCCAGUUUAUGGACCGGGCCGGUUAUGGACAUCCAUCAAUUGAUUUAUAACACUCCCCCUUGGAUGCCAUAACCAUACAGGGAUUGUAAUACGCUUAAUGUUACCUCAUUUAAACCUUAUCAGGAAAAUCCAGUGGGACAAAACCAUGAUGAAGGAAAAAGAGUACAACACGCACUACUCCCCCUGAUGUGAACCUCAGUGGAGGUCCUUCAGCCUACGCAUCCCAACCUGAUGUGUGAGCUUCCUGGACGUGCAGGUAGGAAGUGCUUUGGUGAAUAGGUCUGCUGAAUUGUCACUUAAUCGUACUUGGACGACCUGGACCUCAUCGGCUUUAUAAAGCUCGUGAGUAAAGAAGAACUUAGGCAAUAUGUGCUUCGUCCUAUCACCUUUUAUGUAACCGUCCUUGAGCUGAACAAUGCACGCACCAUUGUCCUCAUACAUCACGGUUGGCUCUUUGCUCUCGGCCAUCCCGCAAUCAGCUCGGACGUGUUGGGUCAUCGACCUCAACCAAACACACUCGCAGCUGGCAUCAUGUAUGGCUAAGAUUUCCGAGUGAUUAGAUGACGUGGCCGCGAUGGUUUGUUUCAUGGAACGCCAUGAUAUGGCCGUACCUCCAUGUGUAAAGACAUAUCCUGUCUGUGAUCGAGCUUGAUGUGGAUCUGAUAAAUAACCAGCAUCAGCAGAGCCAACUAAACCACCUUUGUUAUGGUUAGUAUAAAACAGACCCAAGUCUUUUGUUCCUUACAGGUAACGCAGAACGUGUUUGAACCCAUUCCAGUGCCUCUGGGUCGGACAUGAGCUAAACCUAGAUAGUAGGUUCACGGCAAAACUUAUAUCAGGCCGUGUGUGAGUUGCCAAGUACAUUAAAGCUCAUAUGGCACUGAGAUAUGGCAUUUCGGGACCUAGGACAUCUUCAUCGUCCAUUUUGGGACGAAAUGGAUCAGUGUCAAGACCGAGUGAUCUCACGACCAUGGGACUGGUCAGACGCUAACUCUUGGUUGGGUUGCGAAGCCUUUCACCUUGACUUAGCGGGACGAGUUAGUGGAUGAACUGUAAGGAUACCAUCAUUUCUGGACUCAAGUUGUAAUCCCAAACAAAAUUUUGUUUUCCCGAGAUCUUUCAUCUCGAAUUCUUUCUUAAGGUAUUCAACCGUUUGGGAAAUCUCUCCAGAGGUUCCAAGGAUGUUCAAAUCAUCAACAUAUACUGCUAUGAUCACGAACCCUUGAUUUUCGAAUUUCUUAAUGAAAAUACAUGGACUGAUAGGGUCAUUUCUAUAUCCCUCUUUCACUAGGUACUCACUUAGUCUAUUGUACCACAUUCGUCCGGAUUGUUUCAGUCCAUAAAGAGAUUUAUUCAGCUUAAUACAAUGAUGUUCUCGAGAACUCUCUUUGUUUUUCAAUUCACUGGAGUGCGGGAAUCAAACAGUCAAGUCAGGAUUGUACUGAGACUGGUUGGAACUGAGUUCCGGAGGGACUAAAGUUGAGUCAAUAAGUGACUGUGAUUGGUUAAGGUUUAAGCUGGAAAAACUUAACUAAGAUAGUGAGUUAACACUUCGAGAAUUGAGGUAAACUGGUCAGCACUGUUGGGAGUCUAGCGUUCUCGCCAAAGUGUGUGUCCAAACACCAAGAGAUUGCUCGGAAGUAAGAACUACUAUUCUUAGUGAGUUGGUGCACUGAACCGAGUCUGUUGAGAUUAAAAAAAAUAAAAAAUUGGUAAAUGUUGUAAAACUUAGGAUUUAGAGCUGUAAGUUUAUGUCUUUUAUUAAUCAUAAAGUGUUCCUUUUAUAUAGGGGAUUACAAGAUAAAUAAAAGGAAAUACAAGAAUAGGAAAGAUUACAAAUCAUAAACAUAAACAAAUAAGGAAAACAUAGAUGUAGCCGCCUCCCUCUCUCCUCAAUAGGCCGACUCUUUCUCCUCUCUCUCUCUCCUGUGGAUGGGCCAGUUUAUGGACCGGGCCGGUUAUGGACAUCCAUCAAUUGAUUUAUAACACUCCCCCUUGGAUGCCAUAACCAUACAGGGAUUGUAAUACGCCUGAUGGAAGGCGUCUGUACCGAUGAUGCGGAUCAGACGGCAAGAGUUAUUUGGGGCGGUUAACGGAUGUAUAGUGCUGGAACGUGAUACUGGCGGUUAGGACUCGGAUCGAGUCUCAGCGUUCUGUACCGGCUAUGGUAUAGAGUCGAGUGUUGAUGGAUCGGUCAUGACUGGACCGAGACUUGUACUGGAUGGAGGCAUGGUGUUACUAACUGGUUAUGGGGCUGUGGAGCCGAGUAUGUACUGACUAUUCCGGGUGUGAUCAAGGACUGGUUCUGGGGCGCUAAGCAUUGCUAGCGUACUGUCUGUUCUGGAUGGCUGGUUGGAGACCAAGCCGUCUCUCUUUGUUUACUUGGAUCAUGUGGGGAUGGUUGGCUGAGUGAUUAAGGAACAAGGGGAUUCGGUUAAGUAUCUGAUCGAACUGGCUGGAUAAGACGGAUGGGAAACAGGAAGACAUCAAGGAAGGAGUGUAUGGAUGGAUUAUCAGAUAAAAAAGCACCGAGGCAGUAAGGUACAUGUUUAUUAUGCUGCGAUUACUAGUAGACUUCUAAGUUGUUGGAUUAUACUUAGCGAACCCUGUGUAUUGAACUGAACCUCUUAGAGGAAAGCUGGUUAAAAAUCGUAAGUAAAGGGAAUAUUUCAUAAAAGGCCAGUUUGGGUCGGGGCAAGCAAACUAUGGACGAACUGGCGGUAAGGGAAACCGGGUCGGGGCCUUUCAAGUGGUAGCAGAGCGAUGACGGUUCUAGGACAGAGUUUGAAGGAUGAUACAAGAUUUUUCAAGAACGGACGCGAAAAAUGCUAAGGGCGAGCAUUGGAGAACUGACGAGAGACUUGAUCUUGGGAGUGAUCAAGUCGGACUUACACUUUGUAUGGGCAAAUGUAAGUUAGAAAUCUAACUGGAAAGAAACCGGAGAUAAGAUCACUGAUGAAAGACUGGAUUGGUGGAACGAAGUCCAAGUUAAGAUCUAAGUGUUGGAAACAACCGAGAGGUUUAUUUAAGUCAAUGGAUCCGAAUUCUGAAGUAAAGAAACGGGAAAGAUUGACGAAGUGUAUUCUGAAGCUUAAGGAUAAUAAGCUGACUGGAGUUAGGAUUGAAUCAAGUGGCUCGAGGAAGCCAAGGAUGCUUCAGAAAAAGUCUAAGUAAGACAAGGAACUGUCAAAGACAAUGAUGUCGGAUAUGGAACCAAGGAGCUGAUGAGUUUAACUCUGUAUAGAUAAGACGUCCAUAACUGAAUUUGGAAAGAAGACUUCAGCGGAAGGGUUCAUGGUAGGAUAGCCGAGUGGAUGAGUUGAUUGUUGUAACGGAGAGGAAGUUGGACAGGUUGUCCGAGGAUUGAGAUGGAAUCUUAAUGCACUGACUAAGGCAAUGGAAGGAUUGCUAAGAGAUAACCUGAAAGAGUCAAGGAAUCUGAAAAACUGAAUUGGACAAGUCACCCAUGGAAGAGCCUAAGGACUAAAAGGCUAAGGCACUGGUGCUGGAAUGUGAAGCACAAAGACUUACAUUCGAAUGGAACAUCUGCUGAGAAUGCCUAGACGGAUCCUAAGAUUUUCAAGGUAAUGGACAAGCUGGUCCGGGAAAAUGGAACUGGAAGUUUCAUAAAAAGAUUUUGGAAAAAAAUCUGAGUAAGACUUACACUUAGCAAGUAGUGAGUGUAGGCAAGUCUGUCCUGACGUCUGUGGGAACCGGAGAGUUUCCAAGACGUAAUUGUAAUCGCAUCGGUGGGAACUUGAUUAGUUCGCCAUCGCGUGUCUGUGCUGUAGUCUGCGGAAACCCAAUCUGAUGUCUGUGGGAGAUGUACCUUCCAAGACAUAACUGUACUGUCACUGGAACUCAAGGAGUUCACUACUGCGGGUUUCCGAUCGCGAUGAAAGCAUGGAUUGGAACUAGUGAGAGUUUGCCAUCACAUGUCUAUAGGACGUCUGUCGGUUUAGUAUAAUGAACUGCUGUCAUUGGGAACUGUUGAGUUUCUAAGACAUAACCACGACUGAAUAAUGGGAACUACAAAAGUUUGCCAUUUUCGAACUGUGAACCAGGAAGGACUGGGAGUCUGAAAGGAAAAUUUUGCAAGGGAUCAAGUGUAGGAUCCAGUAAGAAAUGUCUGUAAGGAUCAAGAAUGAUCCGGAAGUGUCAAUAAAGAUCAGAUAAGAUAUGAGAAAAGCUGAUGUCGAUCAUAAGUGGUCGGGGAUUGGUUAGGAUCAGGGAGUGAUCUGAGGGAACAACUAUAAGGAUCAAGAUGAGAUCCAUGCGUUCUGAAAAGAUUAAGUUCCUAGUAUUCGGAGUUAGGCCAUGCUAAGGAACACUGGAGUGCGGGAAUCAAACAGUCAAGUCAGGAUUGUACUGAGACUGGUUGGAACUGAGUUCCGGAGGGACUAAAGUUGAGUCAAUAAGUGACUGUGAUUGGUUAAGGUUUAAGCUGGAAAAACUUAACUAAGAUAGUGAGUUAACACUUCGAGAAUUGGGGUAAACUGGUCAGCACUGUUGGGAGUCUAGCGUUCUCGCUAAAGUGUGUGUCCAAACACCAAGAGAUUGCUCGGAAGUAAGAACUACUAUGCUUAGUGAGUUGGUGCACUGAACCGAGUCUGUUGAGAUUAAAAAAAAAAAAUUGGUAAAUGUUGUAAAACUUAGGAUUUAGAGCUGUAAGUUUCUGUCUUUUAUUAAUCAUAAAGUGUUCCCUUUAUGUAGGGGAUUACAAGAUAGAUAAAAGGAAAUACAAGAAUAGGAAAUAUUACAAAUCAUAAACAUAAACAAAUAAGGAAAACAUAGAUGUAGCCGCCUCUCUCUCUCCUCAAUAGGCCGACUCUCUCUCCUCUCUCUCCCUCCUACGGAUGGGCCGGUUUAUGGACCGGGCCGGUUAUGGACAUCCAUCAAUUGAUUUAUAACACUCCCCCAUGGAUGCCAUAACCAUACAGGGAUUAUAAUACGCUUAAUGUUGCCUCAUUAAAACCUUAUCAGGAAAAUCCAGUGGGACAAAACCAUGAUGAAGGAAAAAGAGUACAACACGCACUACUCCCCCUGAUGUGAACCUCAGUGGAGGUCCUUCAGCCUACGCAUCCCAAUCUGAUGCGUGAGUUUCCUGGACGUGCAGGUAGGAAGUGCUUUGGUGAAUAGGUCAGCUGAAUUGUCACUUGAUCGUACUUGGACGACCUGGACCUCAUCGGCUUUCUAAAGCUCGUGAGUAAAGAAGAACUUAGGCAAUAUGUGCUUCGUCCUAUCACCUUUUAUGUAACCGUCCUUGAGCUGAGCAAUGCACGCAGCAUUGUCCUCAUACAUCACGGUUGGCUCGUUGCUCUCGGCCAUCCCGCAAUCAGCUCGGACGUGUUGGGUCAUCGACCUCAACCAAACACACUCGCGGCUGGCCUCAUGAAUGGCCAAGAUUUCCGAGUGAUUAGAUGAAGUGGUCGCGAUGGUUUGUUUCAUGGAACGCCAUGAUAUGGCCGUACCUCCUUGUGUAAAGACAUAUCCUGUCUGUGAUCGAGCUUGAUGUGGAUCUGAUAAAUGACCAGCAUCAGCAAAGCCAACUAAACCAUCUUUGUUAUGGUUAGUAUAAAACAGACCCAAGUCUUUUGUUCCUUGCAGGUAACGCAGAACGUGUUUGAACCUAUUCCAGUGCCUCUGGGUCGGACAGGAGCUAAACCUUGAUAGUAGGUUCACGGCAAAACUUAUAUCAGGCCGUGUGUGAGUUGCCAAGUACAUUAAAGCUCAUAUGGCACUGAGAUAUGGCAUUUUGGGACCUAGGACAUCUUCAUCGUCCAUUUUGGGACGAAAUGGAUCAGUGUCCAGACCGAGUGAUCUCACGACCAUGGGACUGGUCAGAGGAUGGCAAUCGGCCAUAUUAAACCUCUUGAAUAUCUUUUCUGUAUAUGCCAUUUGAUGCACAAGGAUACCAUCAUUUCUGUACUCAAGUUGUAAUCCCAAACAAAAUUUUGUUUUCCCGAGAUCUUUCAUCUCGAAUUCUUUCUUAAGGUAUUCAACCGUUUGGGAAAUCUCUCCAGAGGUUCCAAGGAUGUUCAAAUCAUCAACAUAUACUGCUAUGAUCACGAACCCUUGAUUUUCGAAUUUCUUAAUGAAAAUACAUAGACUGAUAGGGUCAUUUCUAUAUCCCUCUUUCACUAGGUACUCACUUAGUCUAUUGCACCACAUCCGUCCGGAUUGUUUCAGUCCAUAAAGCGAUUUAUUCAGCUUAAUACAAUGCUGUUCUCGAGAACUCUCUUUGUUUUUCAAUUCGAUACCUUCUGGGACUUUCAUAUAGAUUUCAUUAUCCAGUGGUCCAUAUAGGUAUGCGAUUACAACAUCCAUUAACCGUAAAUUCAGACCCUCUCUCACGGCCAGACUGAUUAAAAAUCUGAAGGUCGUAGCAUCCACCACAGGGGAGUAUGUCUCCUCAUAAUCUAUUCCUGGUCUUUGUGAGAAUCCUUGUGCAAUAAGUCGUGCUUUGUAUCUCACAACUUCGCCUUUCUCAUUUCUCUUUCUCACAAAAACCCAUUUGUAUCCCACUGCUUUGAUAUCAUGAGGUGUCCAGAUUAUUUGGCCAAGUACACCUCUUUUUCUCAAUGAUUCUAACUCCACGUUUAUGGCUUCUUUCCAUUUAAGCCAAUCUGGUCGUUGCAUACAUUCAUAUAUAGAAGUGGGUUCAUAAUCCUCGUUAUCCAUAAGUUCAAGUGCUACUUCAUAAGCAAAUAAAUCAUCCAUGUCGACAUGUUUUCUGUUCCACUAUUUCCCAGACAAGACAUUGUUUAUUGAGAUCUCAUUAUUAUCUGCACCAUCUGUACCAUGAAUCUUGGUUUCCCAAGAAUCAUUGUUUGGCACAUCAGGGCCGGCCACAUCAGUGGCAUCAGUACCGGCCAUGUCUAAAGCCGUAGGGUCAGACGCGGCCACAUCUCGGGCUGGAUCGGCCGCGGCCAUGUCUGGUGUCUGAACAACCUCGGUUUCAUUUUCUGCACUUUUUUUGUUUUCCGAAGGUUCUUAUCUUUGUAACCAAUUGGUCUACCGCGUUUCACACAUUGUCUAGACUCUGUAGCAACUUGAUUGUGUCCCUCUUGAACAUCAAUUCUUAUUGGGGCAUUAGCAGUUGGUAUUUAUGACUUUGUCACUCUUUUCGGGUCAGCAAAGGAAUCUGGCAAUUGAUUAGCUAGCUUUUGUAAAUGAAUGAUCUUUUGAACUUCUAGAUCACAUUCUUGAGUUCGAGGAUCUUGCCAAGAUAUGGAUGUUUGAUUCCAUGAUAUUUCUUUUACCAUUUUACUGCUAUCUCCCCCUAAUGUUGGAAGUUCGGAUUCAUUGAAAUGACAAUCCGCGUAUCUGGCCUUAAACAAAUCACCCUUUGUUGGCUCAAGAUACUUUAAAAUCGUGGGGGAAUCAAAUCCAACAUAUAACCCCAUCCUCCUUUGAGGUCCCAUCUUUGUUCUCUGUGGUGGAGCUAUUGGAACAUAAACGGCAAAGCCGAAUGUCCUAAGAUGGGAUACAUCUGGCUCAUGACCCAUAAGUAAUUGUAAUGGGGAAUACUUAUGUUCACUUGAUGGCCUGAUGCCUAUGAGCUCGGCCGCGGGAAGGACCGCAUGUCCCCACGCUGAGACCGGAAGUCUCGACCUCAUGAGUAAUGGUCGAUCUAUGAGCUGUAUGCGUUUUAUAAAUGAUUCGGCCAAGCCGUUCUGUGUAUGUACAUGUGCCACGGAGGGUUCCACACUUACCCCCAUGGACAUACAGUAAUCAUUAAACGCUUGGGAAGUGAACUCACCAGCAUUGUCUCGACGUAUAGUCUUUUAAGGAAAAUCUGGAAAAUGGGCUCGUAAUCGAAUUAUCUGAGCAAGCAACCUGGCAAAUGCCAAGUUUCUGGUCGACAGGAGAUAAACAUGCGACCAUCUAGUGGACGCAUCAAUGAGGACCAUGAAAUAUCGAAAUGUCCCACAAGGUGGGUGAAUUGGUCCACAGAUGUCUCCUUGAAAUCUUUCCAGAAAGUUUAUAGUCUCUUUAGUGACUUUAACUGGUGAUGGCCUAGAAAUGAGUUUCCCUUGGGAACAAGAAACACACGAUAGGUGCUUAGGGAUAAUUCGUUUCUCUUUAAGGGAAUGGCCGUUUGAUUUCAGGAUCAGUUUACGCAUCAUGGUCAAACCGGGAUGGCCAAGCCGGUCGUGCCAUAGAGUGAAAUAGUCGAUUGCCUCUUUAUUAAAAGUGGCAUUGGCCUCGAUCAUACUGACUUUAGUAUGGCAAAGACCAGUAGAUAGUGCGGGUAUGUAUUCUAAGACUUUCUUAUGACCUUGGGCGAGAUCAAUGAUCUGGAGGAACUCUUUGUGUCCUUCGCCCUUGGUUUCAAUAUGAUAGCCAUUCAAUCGAAUGUCUUUAAAGCUUAAUAGACUUCUCUUAGAUUUGGGUGGGUACAAGGCAUCUGAUAUCUCAAGAUGUUUACCCAUAGGCAACAGGAUAUUUGCCUGGCUGUGGCCCUCUAUGAGACUAGCAAUACCCGCAAUGGUGGAGAUGGUGGCAUUUUUCAGAGUUAGGUUAAUGAAGUAUCUCUUAUCUUUUAAGAUCAUGUGGCUUGAUCCACUAUCCACAACGAGUACAUCCUUGUUCUCGUUCAUUUUUAAAACAAGAUUCAAAAGGAUGAUACUUAGAGACUUCAUAUAUAAAAUCAUUUCAUUUCUUAUUAAGUUUUCAAGUUCAAAGAAAUGACAACAUAGAAACACCAAAACAUAGAAUUUUUUAGAUUUACAAAUGUCGAAAUCGUGCUUCAGUCUUUAAGACAAUCUGAAGUUUCAUAAUCCAUAAGAUCGUCCUUCUCAUGAUCGAAGUCUUUUUGAUUGUCUUGAUAGGUCAUGUGGGCUUCAGGAUUCUUCCCUUUCAAACUCUCUUGAUAGAGAUCAACUAGAUGCUUGGGAGUCCUACAAGUCUUAGCCCAAUGAUUGCCCAUACCACAUCUAUGGCACACUGAUUUACUUGAGUUGGUCGAGUGUUGAGGUUUGAACGAAGAUCCAUGGCCGCGACCAUGGCCUCUUCCAAAUGAGCCACGAUCACAUCCAUGUUCUCGUCCAUUCUGAUUCCCUCGUCCGCGGCCAAAGGAACUUCGGCCACGGCCACGUCCGUUUCUACUUCCUCAACCACGGCCAUGAUAGCCGUUUCUUUGGACAUGGUGGGACUCUUUAUUGUCUUCAGUGGUGUGUGCUUCAGGUGGUGCUGCUGAUCCAACAGGUCUCAUCUUACUGUUUCUCAUUAAUAAUUCAUUAUUCUGCUCAGCAAGCAAGAGACAAGAAAUAAGAUCAGCAUAGGUCUUAAAACCUUUCUCAUGGCACUGUUGUUGUAACAGCACAUUGCUUGUGUGGAAAGUGGAAAAGGUUUUCUCAAGCAUAUCCUCAUCCGUAAUACUUUCACCACACAGUUUCAAUUUUGAAACGAUCUUAAACAUGGCCGAGUUGUACUCGUCCACAGAUUUAUAGUCUUGGAUCCUUAGAUCUCUCCAAUCAGACCGAGCCUUAGGUAAGAUGACCGUUCUCUGGUGAUCAUAUCUCGAUUUCAAUUCGUUCCAAAGAUCUAGUGGAUUCUCAAUGGUUAGAUAUUGAUCCUUGAGAUUCUCAACUAGAUGAUGACAAAUGAUCAUGAUGGCUCUGUAAUGAUCCUUCUCAUUAGGAUUACUAUUCUCGGUGAUACAUUCACCGAGACCCUAGGAUUUUAAGAUGAUCUUAGCAUCAAGUGCCCACUGAAGGUAAUUGUCUCCAGAUAGAUUAAGGGCAGCGAAAUCAAGGUUGUUGAUUUUCGACAUCUGUAGGUUUUGAAGAUUGUAGAACCGGACCACCAAGAGAACCUCGAGCUGGACGAUCGGACGCGAGCUGGAACGCGAUCUGGAACAAGCUCAAACAGUCACGUGAUGAGGCGUGAGCUGGAACGGGAUGCGUCUGAUUGGGAACGCGAGCAGGCUGCUUGCUACUGGGUCGCGAGCUGGCUGAUCGGGGAACGCGAGCUGUAGCUGUCCGGGAUGCAAGCUGAGAAUGGUUGGGGUCGUCUAAGCUGAGAUCGUCGGAGUGCUGAGUUGAGACGGAACAGGGAACGCCUUGGGUUAGGGUUCGUCGGACUAGGGUUAGAUGAAUGCACCGGCUAAGUUUAGGAUUUUAGGGUUUGCGAUUUUGGUUUCUUAGGCUCAGGGUGUUUAGAGACUAUCGUGCUGAUAACGUGUUGUAAAACUUAGGAUUUAGAGCUGUAAGGUUCUGUCUUUUAUUAAUCAUAAAGUGUUCUCUUUAUAUAGGGGAUUACAAGAUAGAUAAAAGGAAAUACAAGAAUAGGAAAGAUUACAAAUCAUAAACAUAAACGAAUAAGGAAAACAUAGAUGUAGCCGCCUCUCUCUCUCCUCAAUAGGCCGACUCUCUCUCUCCUGCGGAUGGGCCGGUUUAUGGACUGGGCCGGUUAUGCACAUCCAUCAAUUGAUUUAUAACAAUAAAGAGACCGGAUCGAAUAAUUGAUAUCUGAGAUCAAAUCCAAGCGUGAUUGUGAUCAUGAAGUCUGGAACACUGUAAUGGUCGAGUGACCGAAAGCCUGAGCAUUGAGUUAAGGCAUGAGUGCCGUUUGAUUGGGAAUUCCUUCCAAGUGGGGGAGACUGUGGGAACCGAAAUUCGCACUGUCGAUUUCCGUUUAAAUAAGGAAACUAGAAAAACCCUAAUUUCCCAGAGGUCCCGGAUAUCUGCUAAUACCACACGCCAAAGUUUGAUUGAUAAUCUUAGAAAUGGCGGGGUACGUGAGAUGGGUUCGCUACGGUAUUCGGGAGAUAGCAUCGAAGGGUAGACGAGAAUGCAUGGACUGAUGUCGUAUCGACGUUUCGUAAGAUCUCGGUCGCUACGUAGCAACUGAGUUUUGGCUCGAACUCGGUCGCUACGACCGAGCGGAAUGGACGUUUGGUCGCUACGUAGCGACUGAGCUUUGGCUCGAAAUCGAUCGCAACGUAGCGACCAAGCGGAGCAUGUGUUUGGUCGUUGCGUAACGAUCCUUCUCGAGCUCUUGUCGAAGAAUUUUUUUUCUUCGGGGAUUUGGACGUUAACUUCGUCGUAACCAUUUUCGACCCCAAUAGUUAGCCCCCCAGCUCAUUGGGAGCGUAGAUUUCUAGCGAGGUCUCAAUGCGCGGUAUGGCGAGUUCGGACGAGAUUGGUGUAUUUGGGCAAAGUUCGUGUCCAAAAGUCCGCAAGGAAAUAGUAAUUUCUCAUGCCUAUAAGAAGGGAGGUAAUUUCUUCACAAUCUUCACACUUACUCAUUCUCAUAGAGAGGUUUUUCUUGAAAAGUUCUUUUCUCUUUUUUCUUUAUCAUUGCCUUCCUGAUUUUAAAAGAAAAACACGAGAUGUCGAGUAAGAAGAGGAGUUCGAAGAAAGGAUCCUUGCCCGCGAACGUUUCUUAAGAGCUUCGAGUGCCGAAGAUGGAAUUCGUUCCUCAUUUGGUAGACCCAGCCGAGAACGAGGCAUGGUGGGUGGCGUGUUACGGUUCGAUCACACCUCCCGUCCUGCUUUGGGCAGAGAAGCAAGGAGUGAUUCCGAACCUGAAGACCAAGGUCCCAACGCUGCUCACACGAUUGUGGCAGGGCCGAACUAUUUGAAUGGGAAAGAUAUUGAUCUCGGCGACCUGGAGUUUUCGGUGGACGACUGCAUGCUUCCAGGAUGGGAUCCGAACCUUGCUUACGGCGAUGGAAGCGGUACGAGCGAGGUCCCUAUUCCGGACUUCGAUGAUUUCUUCGCUGGUCUUUCAUCGGGCUUUGACGCUCCUCAGGCCACGAGCGAGUCAGGGAGACCGAAAGUUGUUGCGGAAGGAUCUCGUAUAAUUAACGGGGUAUAAACUUUAAGAAUUCUGACUAUCGUUAUUAUUAAUAUUUGCUUAUAACGUAUCAAUCGGUUUUAUAGGGUUUGAACUUGCUUGGAUCGGCCAUCGAGGCGAGCCAUGGAGAGGCCAUGAUCUAUCACUUUAAGGCGGAUCGGGGUGGCGAUAAGCCAACUGAAUCCUCUUAGCAUCCAGCACCUCCUAGGGAUCCUGGUCCUGAGCUACGAGCAUGGUAUAUCUCUCACCGUUGAUCAUUUCGAAGCAAUUCUUCGAUUACAAAUCAUCCGGGACACGAACACGUACAGGCUAGUUCCUCGGAACUUCAUGUCAGUGGUAAAGGAGUUCGCUUCUAACUUCAACUCGUGGAGUAAGUUUUUCUUCUUCGUCCGUGUAGACGCGGCGUCCGUUGAGGAGAGUUGUAUCUCACUGUUUCGGGGGUUGCCCAACGAUCGUCCUUUUAUCAACCCUCUUGCUCCGUUUCCUGAGGACAUUAUUGCGAUGAGGGAUCUGCUCAGGAACAGUCCUUUUUUCUGGACUUCCUUUACGCCGAAGAGAGUUCGAAAGGCGCUGAGUUUUGCGCAUCCUGGUCCUGCUUUGGGCAGAGAAGCAAGGAGUGAUUCCGAACCUGAAGACCAAGGUCCCAACGCUGCUCCCACGAUUGUGGCAGGGCCGAACUAUUUGAAUGGGAAAGAUAUUGAUCUCGGCGACCUGGAGUUUUCGGUGGACGACUGCAUGCUUCCAGGAUGGGAUCCGAACCUUGCUUACGGCGAUGGAAGCGGUACGAGCGAGGUCCCUAUUCCGGACUUCGAUGAUUUCUUCGCUGGUCUUUCAUCGGGCUUUGACGCUCCUCAGGCCACGAGCGAGUCAGGGAGACCGAAAGUUGUUGCGGAAGGAUCUCGUAUAAUUAACGGGGUAUAAACUUUAAGAAUUCUGACUAUCGUUAUUAUUAAUAUUUGCUUAUAACGUAUCAAUCGGUUUUAUAGGGUUUGAACUUGCUUGGAUCGGCCAUCGAGGCGAGCCAUGGAGAGGCCAUGAUCUAUCACUUUAAGGCGGAAAAGGACCUUGCUCGCAUGCGAGACGAAACACUCAACUUGCUCGUGAUCAUGCCAGGGCUGUUCGUAGGGUGGAACGGAAGGGCAAGAGGGAAAUCGUCGAGGUGAUGAAGACUCGUGCUUCUCAAUUCCAGGUUGAGUACGGGAAUCUUAAGGGCGCUUUCAACUCGCUGGGCGACUUCCGUGAGUGUCGCGGCUCCGUCGGGAGUCUUUGGAAGAUGCAGGAAGAUGACUACGUUUUCGAGAGGGAGAUGGAGUUAAUGAAGGGUGGCGUGAAGGAUCAUGCUCACGCUGAGGCGACCAUUCCUCCGAUCGAUGGGAAGAUUCAAAGAUUCUGGGAUCCCAUUCCGGUUUCCCCUGAUACCGUAGAAACUACGACUGAUUUUGCCGGUGACGAUGAGGAUGUGAACUUUCCCGCGGAUGCAUUCGGAGCCUCCUUGUCCGGGAGUUUUAAUUUUGAUCUGUGAGGGUUUUAAUUAGUUUUUCCCUUUAUCUAGUAUCCAGCGGUCGAGUGUGGCCUUUGUCCAUGUAUGUCUGGCCGAGUAUGGCUUUCGAACAUUUUACGGGCCUAUUAUGGCCGUUUUUGUCGAGAUUGGCCGUUGGUGGCUUUGAACCCCUACCGCUAUGCGGUUUAUAUAAUGGAUGUCUGUUUGGGUUACUUUGUUUAGAGUGGGUUUGAAGUGAACAUGAGUUGUCGUCUCAUAUUUAUCUUCGUUGAGGCGUUCAAUCUGUUAGUUCGUUCGAGACGUGAAUUUUCGUAAAAAUUAUUUACAAUUUUUCAGGAACGUUGAGAUAUGAACGAAGAGACAUAUUUUAGGAAUCUCGUAUCGUUUAGAUAUCAUGUCUUUGAGAUGUUUGAGACCAAUGCGAUGGGUUUAGGGCAAGACCUAGGUUUACUCUCGUUUUUAAGGUUUGUCCGGUGACUAGCCGGCUAUCGGUUUUCCUGUUGCGAUUUCUACCUGAUUCGUACCGAUUUAAAGUCCGCGAUAGGUUCUCGGCUUAUACGACUUGUAUGGUACGAAUCGAGCAUCUUUCCAGAGACAAUUUUAAAGCCAACUGGAAGUGCUAGACCAAAAUUUCGGAUUUUUUUUGUAGCGCGCUUUCGUCCUUGUGUUGGACGUUUGAAGAUCAAGACAGUGAUCAGGUUGCGUUUGUUUAAGACGGCUGAUGUGUUCGUCGGGGCCAAUCGACGAACGGAGUAUAAGAUUUGUAGUGGUCGCGUUCAGACAAUUUGUUCAUAUCAUCUCAAUUUUUAACUUGGCGACGUCUCGCAGUUAUUUCGAAGACUAUACGCAUAUUUUUGGUGCUGAAGUGAGAUUGUUUUGCGACUUUGUCUUUAAAAAGAGCAACGCAUAUUUCGUAAAAAAUUUCGAAAACUUUAUAGAAUUCAAUUACAAUAACACAUCUUUUCCUAUGUGGGAGUAUACGAGUAUGCGCACCCACUCCCCCUACCCUUUUUGGAGAGGGGGAUAGCCGAACUCGUCCUUCGACGAGCUGCCUCCGUACCCCUUUCGAGGAUCAAGCCAUCUCGUAGUUCUGUUUUACGCCGCGAGCGUUUUCACUCGGCGGUUGUCGCCGUGCUGACCGCCUUGAUCGAGAUGAUCGUGGCAGGGUCAGUGUUCUCUUCCGGAUGUUCCGGUUGAGUUGUAGUGUCGGCAGACGAUGUGAAAUCGUCUUUUCUCGAAACUUUGUUGGUCGAAGAUUUAUCGAUCUUUGUGCAUUUGCGAUUUUCCGUUGCAGAGGUUGUCAUCUGUCUUAACUUGUGUUCUGCGAGGAAGCACAGUCGCGACUGUUUCUGACAUCCCCAGAUAGCUGCGACUCCGUUUGGGGUCGGGAAUUUGACGCCCAGGUGGUACGUCGAUGGAAUGGCUUGCAUAGCGUUGAGCCACGGGGUUCCCAUGAUCACGUUGUAGAUGGCAGGAUGAUCAACUACAGCAAACUCUACGACUUUUGUCACCUCCUUGGCCAUGACAGGUAGCUGAAUCGAUCCGAGGGUCAUCGAUACUUCGCCAGAAAAGCAUGUGAGCGGUUUCGGAGUUGGAGUUACUUCUCCGAGUUUGAUGCUCAUCCGAUUAAAAGUGUCGCGGAAGAUUACAUUCACCGUGCUUCCCGUGUCAAUGAGUACUCUUCCGACUUCCAGAUCUCGUAUGAAUAGGUCUAUGACGAGCGGAUCACAGUGGGGCUGAUCAAUCCCACCGGCUUCCUCCUUUGUGAGGGUGAGUUCUCCGGCUAGUAGCUUAGCGGCCAGCCUUGCUCCCAAGACCUUGCAGUUAGUCGCGGAGUGUCCUCGGGAUUGGUGGAACUCGUUGAAGGUGUUUUCAUCAUAUCCUUGGUUGCAAGUCCACGUAUUACCCGUGGUUCGGCCCUGGUCUGAUCCGAUUGUGUAAUUAUGCCCUCCUUGGAGUUCUUCCCCCUCGUGAUGGACAUACUUGUCAUUACGAGGGUGUUUCUUCCUCGUUUUUGGGUCCACAUCUUUUGAGGAUUUUGCUUCUGCGAUAAGAUUUUCAUUUAUUCCUCGAUCAUGAUGUAGUCCGUCGCCUUGUGGAGGGCGUCUUGGAUCGUCCACGGUUUUUCGAGGGAUAUCCAUUUUCUGAAUUUCGACUUGUACCAGGGCGCUUUUCUGAGCGCAUCGAUGGCCACCUUGUCGCUUAUCCCGCUGACCCUGGAAAUUACCAACUUGAACCGGCUGAAGAACUCACGGAGGGGUUCCUCUUCCCUGUGGGAUAGACUCCAGAGAUCGACAUCGGAAGUUUCUCUAUCUAUGAACAUAGAGAAUUGCUUGAGAAAUUCCAAGGCAAGCUGCCAGAAACUCCCGAUAGAGUUUCGCUUAAGGCGCGCGAACCAUUCGAGGGCUGCUCCUUCUAGAUUCUCGACGAACAGGCGGCAGUAGUCGGCGUCUCUCUCGCCGUCCUUCAGCCUCGCUCUUCCCAUCGUGAUGUGGAAAGCCUGAAGGUGCGCUCUCGGAUCGGUCGUACCAUCAUACUUCGGUACUUUGAUUUUUCCUGGAUCGGAUACCCUUGUAUCUGAGAUGCGAGCGGUGAAAGGGGUCUUCCGAGCCCCUUCCAGCAGUCUGUCGAUCUCGGGGGCCGCGCUCGUAACGUGAUGGAUUUGGGAUUUUACGACUCUCACUUAUGCCGCAGUCUUGGUUAUAUAGGCACGAAGAUCGCGUAUAUCCGACGUCUCGUCAGUAGAUUUCUGCGCUUGUCAGCGUUUACUGCGAGUGAGCUCGGUUUUUUUUUCAGCCAGCUCUACCUGUUCGUUCCAAUAGAGGAUUUCCUCCUCUUCUGUCAUUGGUUUGUCGAACGGAGAGCUUUCCCAAGUGAAACGGCUUUCGGUCCUUCUUGGAUGUCUAUCGGCGUCCUCAUCAGUAUUGUUGGAGACAUCGCUAGGAUCCAGGUCGACUUGCUCGACUCCGUUGUCCUCCGAAACCUUCGCGGGAGGCAGAGGGCUUUCGUAGUUACCCUUUUCGAUGGGAGACUUCUCGCUAGGGUUUUGACCGGAAGGUCUUUCCUGGGCGGUUCCAGGCCUGUUGAGUGGGGUUGCAAAGUCGAGUCUUUUCCCGCGGACUUUAGUGGUUCCACGGGGGCGGAUUGCUCGAGUCCUUGCCGUUAAAGUUCCAACUUGGUUGGUCAAGGUGCUCACGAGCUUAUCAUGUUCUUCCGACCUUUUGUCGUAGGUGGCGAACAUCUUUUUAAACUCCUCGAGCGCCGCGGCGUUGGCUGGUGCGUUGGCCGCGGAUACGUCCGCUGCGGGAGUGUGGAGAUCAGUGCCGCUGCCUCCGUUAAGAGGAGUCUGCACGUUAUCUAUGUCGUCAGUUGACAUGUCUGGUUUAGCGUGAUGUGGUUGAGAGUUAGAUUGAUCCGUACCCCCCCCCUCCUUCUAGCGCCAAACUGUGGGAACCGAAAUUCGCACUGUCGAUUUCCGUUUAAAUUAGAAAAGUAGGAGAACCCUAAUUUCCCAGAGGUCCCGGAUAUCUGCUAAUACCACACGCCAAGCAAUCANNNNNNNNNNNNNNNNNNNNNNNNNNNNNNNNNNNNNNNNNNNNNNNNNNNNNNNNNNNNNNNNNNNNNNNNNNNNNNNNNNNNNNNNNNNNNNNNNNNNNNNNNNNNNNNNNNNNNNNNNNNNNNNNNNNNNNNNNN
rnacentral:lncRNA from 1 species